rnacentral:rRNA from 1 species
GGACCAAGGAGUCUAGCAUGUGCGCGAGUCAUUGGGACUCUACGAAACCUAAAGGCGUAAUGAAAGUGAAGGUCCGCCUUGCGCGGAACGAGGGAGGAUGGUCGAUCCUUCGAGAUCGACUCGCACUCCCUGGGCGUCUCGUUCUCAUUGCGAGAAGAGGCGCACCAAGAGCGUACACGCUGGGACCCGAAAGAUGGUGAACUAUGCCUGGUCAGGACGAAGUCAGGGGAAACCCUGAUGGAGGUCCGUAGCGAUUCUGACGUGCAAAUCGAUCGUCGGAACUGGGUAUAGGGGCGAAAGACUAAUCGAACCAUCUAGUAGCUGGUUCCCUCCGAAGUUUCCCUCAGGAUAGCUGGCGCUCGUGAGUCUCAUUCGGUAAAGCGAAUGAUUAGAGGCAUUGGGGUCGAAACGGCCUCAACCUAUUCUCAAACUUUAAAUGGGUGAGAUCUCCGGCUUGCUUGAACUGUGAAGCCGCGAGAUAUCGGAUCAGAGUGCCAAGUGGGCCAAUUUUGGUAAGCAGAACUGGCGCUGUGGGAUGAACCAAACGCUGAGUUAAAGCGCCUAAAUCGACGCUUAUGGGAUACCAUGAAAGGCGUUGGUAACUUAAGACAGCAGGACGGUGGCCAUGGAAGUCGGA